UUUGUAGGUUCGAGGCCUUCCCGUCUAGAAAGGCUUUAGCUUAAUUAAAGUGUCUGGGUUGCAUUCAGAAGAU
ensembl:Mt_tRNA